rnacentral:rRNA from 1 species
AGAGUUUGAUCCUGGCUCAGGACGAACGCUGGCGGCGUGCCUAAUACAUGCAAGUCGAGCGGAGUUAUGAUGGGAGCUUGCUUCCAUUAUAGCUUAGCGGCGGACGGGUGAGUAACACGUGGGCAACCUGCCUGUAAGAUCGGAAUAACUGUCGGAAACGUCAGCUAAAACCGGAUAGAUGGUUCUGUCGCAUGACGGGA